UGCAGUAUGCUAAUGUUUUUUAAGAAGUUAUGACAGUUUAUUUAUUUAUUUUUGCAUUUAUAUUUAUACAAAAUGUUUGGGCUACUGUUUUUGAUAACGCAUACAUAAUAGGUUUGUAGAAAAUCAACAACAACAAAAAAAAUCUAUAAAUAUUUUCAUAAUUUUUCAGGAAUUGUUGAUUUCUUUUUCAACACUUGUAAGUCUGAACCAGAAUAUCAAGAUAUUUUAUUAUUUUGUAAAAAAGCACCACCAUGUUAUAUGUAUAAUAAAAUUUGAGUAUGACAAACACAAAUCCCUUCUAUUAUUUUAUCCCUUGAGGUAGCCCUCGCACACAAAAAGGUUGGUUGGAGGAUGGAGACCCCUGGUAUAUAACUAUGUUUUAUAAUUAUAUGUUUGUGUAAUUUGGGGUUUCUGCCUGCAGUGACACUUUUGUGUGUGAGGCCCCAUCCAUCCUCCCCUCAAUACGGUGCAGUCGUCCUGUCCCUCUUGCAGAAAAGCAUCCAUAAAGAAUGAUGUUUCCACCUCCAUGCUUCACAGUUUGGAUGGUGUUCUUGAGGUUGCACUCAUCCUUAGUCUUCCUCCAAACACAACAAGUAGAGUUUAGACCAAAAAGCUCUAUUUUCAUCUCAUCAGACCACAUGACCUUCUCCCAUGAAUGAGUAUGUGGACAAGUGUCUUUUAUACAGGUAACAGUUCAAACCGGUGCAGUUAAUAAAAAGUGGAGAAAAGGAGGGCUUCCUGUGAGAGCUGGAAUUCUUACUGGUUGAUAGGUGAUCAAAUGCUUAUGUCAUAAACAAUAAACUGCAAAAAUAUAUAUUUUUAAAAUAUACAAUGUGAUUUUCUGGAUUGUUAUUUAAGAUUCUGUCAUUAGAGUAGAAGAGUAUACCUAAGAUAAAAAUGACAGGCUCUUACGUGGUUUGUAAGUGGGAACCUGCACAAUCCCCAGUGUAUCAAAUGCUUUUCCUCCUCACUGUAGAUAACUGAGGGGAACACUUAUUUUAAAAGUGCCAUGUUGACACUGUUUUGGAGUUGCAACUCUGAGUUCAAAUGACUGCAAACAAUCCCAUAUGAUACUUCAUCUGGUGCCCACUCUAAAGCAAAACUAUAUUCUUUCCAGUUAUUAAUUUAAAAUAACUUUCAUAUUAUCUGUAAUCGAAUGUGUUCCAUCCUACAGUUCCUCCUUUAAAACCCUUGCCUCACACUUGAAUUGCCAGGCAGGAGUUUAUUUUACUAACGUGAUUGUUUCUUUAAUCAACAUGACAAAAUAGUUUUGUCUUUUUUAUUUAUAAUACAGAGCUUAACUGUAGAGACCUACAUUUCGGUUGGAUAAAGGAGGGUACAUAAAUUAACCAAUAUCAAAAGCGUAUGUUGGUUAAUUGUUGUGGGUUUUUCCAUCUUCACACACACACACACUCGAGACCGGUGUAUGUCCUGGUUAAGACUAUCCGGGUCCCCACAUAGUCAACCCCUCCCCCACACCUAUACCCGCGCGCGCGUCUGGAGCUAAUGAUUGCAUCUCGUCACUCACUCACUGGACGAGCAGGAGCUGCAAACGCAGCAGCAAUCAGCGUGUUCGUUCUCCAAGGUUUUCACUCAUGGAGAGAAGAACUUGGACCAAUCCAGGAUGCGGAGUACCAUAUCCAAGCGGGGAUUGAUAAACCAUGUCUCCAGCGUUUUAUCAAUAAUUUUAAAGCAUUGAUGCAUGUGAAAAGGACUCCUCUCUUGG